AGUGAACGCUGGCGGUAGGCCUAACACAUGCAAGUCGAACGGCAGCACAGUAAGAGCUUGCUCUUACGGGUGGCGAGUGGCGGACAGGUGAGGAAUACAUCGGAAUCUACUUUUUCGUGGGGGAUAACGUAGGGAAACUUACGCUAAUACCGCAUACGACCUACGGGUGAAAGCAGGGGAUCUUCGGACCUUGCGCGAUUGAAUGAGCCGAUGUCGGAUUAGCUAGUUGGCGGGGUAAAGGCCCACCAAGGCGACGAUCCGUAGCUGGUCUGAGAGGAUGAUCAGCCACACUGGAACUGAGACACGGUCCAGACUCCUACGGGAGGCAGCAGUGGGGAAUAUUGGACAAUGGGCGCAAGCCUGAUCCAGCCAUACCGUGUGGGUGAAGAAGGCCUUCGGGUUGUAAAGCCCUUUUGUUGGGAAAGAAAAGCAGCAGGUUAAUACCCCGCUGUUCUGACGGUACCCAAAGAAUAAGCACCGGCUAACUUCGUG
rnacentral:rRNA from 1 species